GCUGCCGAAAUCAUGUUCAGUGUAACGUUAUGUGGGAUUAAUAAUUUCCCCUUUUCUCCCUCAAGUGGCAGGCUUGUAAAUUCUGUCAUCUGUUCAUUAUUGGUGUUGAUGGUGUUUUUCACAUGCAUGCUUUUUAAUGCUAGUUUAAUUCUCAAAUUGAUCUGAUACUUUCGUUUCACAAAAAGUAAACAAAUUGUUCACUUUCUUAGGGCCUGACAACCACCAGUUGAGUCCAUGAUUCAGGGAAGAGACAGUCUGGGCAGCAGCAACAAGACAACUAUUACAAGUAGAGAUGGGUUUCAAGAACUGACACAACCACAUAUCCUCCAAAUCAUCUCUGCGUGGAUGGCAGCAAGGAUCCAGGAUCAAGAGAUCAUUCUUCAUGGAGACUGUUCCACAGGAAGCAGUUUCUCCUGGAUUUGAGGGAAAGAUUAAAAACAAGGAGGUCUGGGAAUGACUGAAGGGAACUGACAGCAGUGAGGGAAGGAAGUAGUCACCAGAAUCUCAGAGAAGGAUGUUGACAGUGCAGGCCCAGGAUGAAGAAGAGGAGGAAGAACACGUUUAACAAUUUUCUAUAAGCUUGCCAUGUGUUAUAAUAAAAACAAUGAACAUGACUACAAUAAUAUGCUAAAUGUUAUUAAAAGAUUCCAGUUUGCAAGAAGUCUGAGUGUCUGACUCUACACUAGAGGAACUCUUUUCUGAAGAAGAUCAGGUGCUGAGAAGAAGCCUUGUUCUACAGCACAACACUGCAUCAAGCCUCCUGUCCUUCCCUCAGAAGAGCCUGUCUUCCGCUGCUGGGGUAAGAAACACACUCUUCCUCUUCUCUAUCAGCUGUCCUGCACCUAACCCUGCCUCCUCAGCACUGUCUGAAAGAGUCUUCUCCACAGUCAGUAAUCACAGAUCACAGAUUCUUCUGAGAAAGUCGAUAUGCUCAUUUUCUUAAAAAAAUUGUUUUUUCGGGUGGGACAAAUAAUACAGGAGAGAUGCUAGAAAUCUCUAUAUUGUUCAUUUUUCAUAUCUUUACGCUUUAUGAAUGUUUUUUUUUCUGAGAAGCUCAAGAAUUAUGGUUCUUUGGUAAUUGUUAUAUUGUUUAGUUUUAUCCUCUGAUAGUGAGCACAGAGCCCUGAUCAUGACAUGCAAGAAAAAGAAAGAAAUCAUGUCCAUGAUUUACUAAUUCGUUCCCUCUAUGUACUAAAACAUGCACGAUUACUUUUACAUUUCAUUGAUUUGCUAAAUAGUAUGCACAAUUUACUAAUUCGUUAUCUUGAUGUAUAAAUAGUGUACACGUUUUAGCAAAUCGAGGGAAUGAAAUAGAAAAUCGUGCGCAUGAAUUAGCCUAAAUUUUUUCCUGCAUGUCGUGUAAUUAAAGCACAUCACCACCAGACAUUUAUACCAGGAGCCUCAUAUAUGACGCUCACAGUUUUACUUUGUGCAGUAUCUCUGUGCAGUAUCUGCUGAAUUGUUUCAUAUCUAUUUAUCAUGUAUUUUUUGUUGCACUAAAUUAUGUUGUAUCAAUAAGUUUACUGAUAAUUAUUUUUAAUUUUCACUAAUAACGUCAUUAACCAUCUCCCCAUCUUUAAGACAAAAAUGUUCUAUUGUUUAUAUUGUGUAAUCUAUGAAUUGAUGUGUUUAGUUUUCUGUGCUCAUAACAUUUUGCAUGUUUAAAGAACAGGUGCGAUGUUCAAAAUGUUUUGGCUUCGUAUUUGUACAAAGUAGUGCUGAAUAAAUAUUGAUUUGUGAAUGAA